UACAGAGGUCUCAAGCGUUGUUCGGAUUCAUUGGGCGUAAAGGGUGCGCAGGCGGUCGUUCAAGUCGAGUGUGAAAGCCCCCGGCUCAACUGGGGAGGGUCACUCGAUACUGAUCGACUCGAAGGCAGGAGAGGGAAGUGGAAUUCCCGGUGUAGUGGUGAAAUGCGUAGAGAUGUGGAGGAACACCAGUGGCGAAGGCGACUCUUUGGCCUGUAACUGACGCUGAGGCGCGAAAGCGUGGGGAGCAAACAGG
rnacentral:rRNA from 1 species